rnacentral:lncRNA from 1 species
GGUUAAGGUAAUGAAGAAAGACCUCUUUGUGUAUUAAGACUACAAACAGUCAUUUCUUAAGCUAUUACAGAAUUUUAACUAAUACUUUUGGAUUCAAUUUUGUGGUAAUGGGUAUACAAAAAUAAAUAAAUCAUGACAUCAGUUAAUUCAUGGUAACCUUUCAGCAUUCAGAUAAGUCUGUUUUAUUGUGAUGCACUGUCAACUUCUAGACAUAAGGGUGGAUAUGACAAAUAUCCUUGAAAGCAUUCUUCUCUUAUUUUCUACUUCUAAAUAAUGGGAUAAUUUGGCAAGAUCAUUUGAAAGUCUUAUUUAUUAAAAUAUCAAUAAUGAGUUGUUCCAUUCUAGUUUAGAACAUACAAGUUGCUCUUAAUACAUUUUCUAUAUUUCUUGUGAUUGACGCUUUUGAUACCUUAUUUAACAGGAAAAUACUUUCUAAUAGAGGAAAUUAAGAGGUAUUACAGAAGAGUUGUAGAAAUCAUGAACAAAGCAAUAGAGAUAGAUAUCUAUUAUUAUCUUGAUUUUCAAACAAUGAAACUCACAUAAAUAGUCAUUGCAAAGAAAUAAAAUAUAAUGGAUUGCUGAAAUAAAGAUCAAUUAUCAUCAUCAAAUUCCAAAAUCUCUUUUGUAUCUGCCUCUAGGGUCUGCUAACUGUAUUAUUUGCAUAUAGGUGCUCAAAACGCUAUUGACUAAUAAUGAAACCUUUUCCAAAUGCUGGAAUGUGGUUCACUGGUAGCAGGGUCCCGUCAGAACUGUUAAGUUUGUAAACAUAAAUCUUCAGUACCUAUCAAUCUCAGUACACCAAAUCAAAAAAGGAAGGCAUGAGAAUUUAGUAAUAGGAGAAAUCAGUCACUUCCAGUUCUAAGACUUGGAGUCCUGACAGGUACCUUACAGUCCAGGGCAGAGCUAAGAAGCACAACGUUGGUUAACAGAUAGCACAGUAUCAUUUUUUAAAAUUUCACUUAUUUCUGGGAUGUGAGUUCAUGCCAUGCUGCUCUUUGCCUCUCUCUAAGUAAGCAACCAACAAUCCAUCUUAUUAUUAGCCACUGGUCUAAAAUUAGUGAUAGCUUAAAUAUCUGAAAAUAUACCAACUCCCCUAAGUAUAGUAAUGUUGCACUUUCAACUAAAACUAAAUAUUAACCUAUCUGGUUUUCUUCAAUGCCUUUUACUUUCCAUAAAGAAUCAGCUGACUUAGAAGACUGGGUAUCUCCCAUUCAACACAGGAAUUCUGUGAUUUAAAAAGAACAUUCUGUUUCCUAGCUUAAGCACAGCAUUCACAGAAUAUGGUACUUAAAAUGCUGUCUGGGUAAGUUACUACCAAAAAAGUUUUAUCAGCUGUUACAAGAAUAAGAAUCACUAUUAGGAGUAUACCAAGUAGCAAUUUCCUCUAAAGAAAGCCAAGUAGCAAUUUAAUUUCAGAAUGAAAAGAUCUGGGUAGAGAAGAAAAGUAGACAGUAAAACAGAUUAAUUUAACUACUGUUAAUCACAAUAUAGCAAAGAAAAAAAUCAGAAGUUACAUACUUCAGAAAAAAGUGGAAAGGGCCAAAGACAAAAUGUUGGCAUGCUAUAGUUUUUUUUUCCCAACUUAGAAAAUAUCCGUACAAGAACAAGGGACACUUCACAUUUAACCACCCACUGUCAAUAUGUAUUUAGCUCACCUCAGGAUAAACCAAACUGCAAGAAAAUGGCCCAACUAACAAACUGUACUCAUAUUUAAUAAGCAACAUUUACCUCUAUGUAGUUUUACAAAGUUCCCAAUAAUCUGAUUUAUAUGGAAACUUCCUCUGUGAAAGAAUAAGAUGAUUUGGAUAUUAUUAUCAAUGCAGUAAUAUGGAUGUCAGUCAGAUGGUAAAUUCAAUUAUUCUUGAAUUUUAAAAAAGGAGUUUCAUGAUUUCUUCAAAUGUGGCUCAUUGUUAGGAAAUUUCCCUUCUUCAACUCUCCAAGUUAAUAAAUAAAAUUAGGUAAUAAUAUUUACAUUGAAUUUACAAUCUUUUUCAUUUAAAGAUAUAUCCCUAUAUCUUGCUUGUUAAUUUAAAUGAUUCUCUGAAACUUCACUAUAACCAAAUUUAGAAAGUAAAAUAAGCUUUGAAAAGGAAUCUUCCAUUUUCACUAACUCAUUUAAACUGAAAUCUUUUCAAAAUACUUACUACAAAUAUACUGAGGGUGCUUCUCAGGCAUUUUUGGGCUACAUUCUAGUAAAGUGUUUAGUGGGUGAGAACUGAAAUAACUGUGUAACAUUUAAAUGAAAUAUAAGGCUUACACUAAGAAAUUAAAACUUGUAUAGUAUGCAACAGUCAACAACACGACUUUUUCAAUGUUGUUUCCACUACCACAAAACAACUUCAGUAACAGAAACAUUAUUUAUAUUUCAAUCACAAACACUGCUCUUAGACAAUCUGUAUCUGAUUUAUAAUCAGAUCUGAAAAACACAGAUUAAGACUAUGCUUAGUCUAUUUCUCUGGCAAAGAGCCAAAAGAAAGAAUAAUUUUACUAUCUCUUAUACAUUCUGGCAAAAAAAAAAAAAAAAAGCCAGAUCAAAGUAAGAUGAGUCAAAAUUGGCAAUAAACCCAACAUGAAGAAAAGAGUGGCACUAAAGUGAAACUUCAGAACAUAUUGCUUUCUAUAUACGCAAGUGUGAUCUUAUUUGAGAAUAGGUAUUUACAAAGAUUCUAGAAAGUUAUAACCAACUUGAUAACCUAGGCUUUCAAUCUCUGUCUCCAUAAUAUUUAGUUGUCAGCAGUUUCAGCUACAUAUGUAAAUAUCUAAUGUGAUUUUAUGUUCUACUUAGUCAGUGUCCACAUACAGAUUUACAAAUAUUAUAAGUGAUACUGUGUAAAAUAUUACUUAUAAUAUUUUCCAGAAUAGCAACUCUGGCUUUGAAUAAACACUGGAGCAUCUGGGCUUUAAAAACAUUUUCUUUUCAAUUUCUAAAUUCUUUUUGGGAAGAUACUGGUGGAAAUUGAAUUUAAAGUAAAAAAAUGCUAAUUUUUGUAAAUUUUAACAAAAAUGGAUUGCUAUAAACAGAUUUAAGUAAAUACUGUUCUAGACAAAUGUAAUAAUCAAGUAGCACUUGACACUGACAAACACUGAACUUGCUUUUAAACCACAGGAGCUUCUAUUGUACCAGCUGCAGCACAGAACCUUACGACAAAGAGAGGCCAAGUGAACGACACUGUGAUAGUAUGGUACAGGAUAAGGAAGGAAAAGAGAACUUCAGCCACUAAGUUUUAAAAAGUCAAUGAGAAAACUAUAUCAGAAAAUCAACUUCCAGGAGAAUAUUAACAGUUAACUACCACAACUAUAGUAAAUCUUUUCCUUUAAGAAUGGAAGACAACAAAGUAAUUCUUACCAUAACAAUAUAGCAGUAAUAGAAAGAAAAUGAAUUAUUCACAUUCUAAGAGGUUUUUCCUGGUGUGUGUGUGUAUGUGCAAAAGCUUACAAAAUUGAAAAUGUGAAUAAAAUGGAUUCAUAUUAAGAUAUCAUGAUAACAGAAAAAAGUCUAAAGAAAGAAUAUUUUCCUUGAGGGAAGAAUAUUUUCCAAAACUGGUUUAAAAAGCACCUAGGAAACUGUGCUGUCAAGCUGUCACAUGGAGGUUUUGGAUUCUUUUAUCAAUUGCAGCAUAACAAAAGGCAUUUCACAGCAUAACUUUAGGGAAAAUGUUAUCCAGUCUAGAAUCACACAGAAAGCAAUUAUAAACUCUUUUAAUUGUUUAUAAUACACAAAUUCUUUCUGGGUAGCAGCAGUUGCUCCUGUAUGUGCCCUUUUAAGAAAUAUGAAACAGAAGCAAUAGAGAAGGGAAAAAAUUUGAGAAGAAUAAGGGUAGCAGCAUUAAAUAGAAAAGCAUAUACUUAAAUACAUUAGAGUAUAAAGAAAGCUUAAAACAAGGAAACAGUACUGUGCAACUUUCAAUUACAUUGAGUAAAGUGCACUGCUUAAACGUUCACUGAUAACAUUUUCCCCGUGUUGAAAACAUGAAAUCUACUUACUGGUAUUUGUGAUAUUAAAAAAGAAAAAAAAAAAAUUCACUACUAUAGCCCUGAUAGCUCUCUUCCAGUAUUUUUAACCAUUCAGAUGAAUUUUGUGGGAAUAUUUAUUCACAUAAUUUUGCUUAAUACAUUUCUUUCUAAACAAGACUGAAUUUAAAAGUCUCUAUAACAUCUUCAAUUACAGUAAUAACACAUUAAUAAAUUAUAAAUUAACAAAAUCUUCAUAUUUGCUUUAAAAAAUCAUUUAUCAAACACUAACCUCCAGAUUAUCUGGAAAAUUAAAGAUGCAAAUUGCUAUAAAUCUGGCAUCCCAAUUAAAUUCUGAUUUUUAAAAGUAUAUAAAAUGUCCCUCAAAUUAUUCCAAGUUCCACUCAAGAAAAUUUUAUUUUACCCUUUUCAUAAGUUAUUAAGUUUAUGACCUGCUAAACAUUUCACUCAAAUGUGGGAAAACUGCCUGGAGAUGCAAAGCACAAUAAAAUAAUUACAUGAAAAAAACAAACAAAAAUACCCGUUAAAACAAAGUUACUGUAGCUGGCAGCACUUAAAAUUGGUAAUUCUUUUUUUUUUAAAGUUGCAUAGCAAGAUGAUUCACUGCCGAUUAACUGUUCAGCAGUUAUAAGAGCAAACAAUGUAUUUCAUAAACUGCAAUUCAGUAGACAAUCGUAGAUUUAAUUAAUUCAAAUGUAAUUAUGUAACUUGAUUUAUUCUUUGGACUGCAUUCUCAUAAUGUUAAGCCUUUAAUUUAAAAUAUUAACAUAUUUUAGCUUUCCUAUGUAGAAGUCUAUUUUCCACUCUUGGGGAAAAGAAUCGCAGAACUUGAGAUCACGGGCUACAUUCAGAGAAUGUUUACUGCUUGAUUACAUUUCUUGGUUUCACAUUUAAGACUUCAUAAGAAGUAAAUCAUGUGUUGUUAAAUUAUUUAAGAAUACAUGAAGGCAGAAACAUCAUGUUGGGGGAAAAUAAAGAGACCCCAAACUAAAAAACAAAACCAAUUAAAACACAACGAGUUGCGCAGCUCUAGAGAACUUAAUAAAAAGUAAAUCAACUUUUAAAUCAGUUAACUUUGGCGUCUGAAUACAAAAUGUUUAUCAGUAUUACCUACGUAGAUAACUAUUAAGGGAUGUGCAGCAUUUCCAAAAUCCCUGUGUGUCCUUUAUACGCAUGUUUGGUACACUGAGUCCUGCGGCAAUUGUCCUCUCUUCAGCAGGAUUUUUUCCUGUAUGAUUGUCCAUCUCUGCAUUUCCGAGUCUCACAGAACUCAAAUUUCUGGCUGCGUAUGCCUGUGUUUUUGUUUUUGUUUUUCCAGAGACAGAUCCUCAUAUCCUCUUGGUUUUUCAAGCAUCUUGAA